ACCUCACGAGGUAACACUACACACUUUUAUCAACACAAAAAAACACAAAGCCAUGGACGAUAGUUGCAUGGAUAGAAUGCCAACGACCAGUGCUACAACUUCAAGUACCAGCCGACAGGGAUCACUGACCUUGCUGUUUGAAAGUAUUACUCCUUAUGAACUGAAUUCGAAACGGCACGCGGAAAUAACUCGGGCAAUAACGGAGUUCAUACCGAAAGACAUGAUGCCUGUUAGUGUAGUGGCCAAUCCUGGGUUUACGGCUUUGGUGAGCACACUGGAUAAGCGGUACAGAAUGCCCUCACGCACACAUUUUAGCCAGGUGUCCAUACCUGAGCGAUACAACAAAUGCAGACAGAGAGUUGCAGCCGAGCUGAAAACAGUGGAGUUUUUUGCGACAACAACUGAUCUGUGGUCGAGCCGUACGUCGGAGCCAUACCAGAGUCUAACGGUGCGUUACAUUGACGAAGACUUGAAUCUCAAAGCUCGCUGCCUUCAAGCAUCCUACUUCCCGGACAACCACACGGGGCAAAAUAUUGCAGCCGGCCUGAGAGAGGGGCUUUGCCAGCUGGGAUCUACAGGAAGAAAACCACAUCUGCAUAACGACGGACAACGCAUCGAAUAGGGUGAUGGCAGCACAGCUAUAUGGAUGGACCAGACUGCAGUGUUUGGGGGACCGAUUACAUCUUGCCAUCGGACAUGCACUCAAAGAUGACAGAGUGUGAAGAGCAUUAGGGCUGUGCAAGAAGGUGGUGGGGCACUUCUCUCACAGUUGGAAGAAGAAGGCGGCAAUGACUGAAGCACAGAGGGAGCUCAAACUCCCUGAGCACAGCCUCAUCAAGAUGGGGAUCAAAAGAAAUGAUGAUUGCCAGGGUGCUGGAGCAGCUCAAAGCCAUUUCUCAGGUAUUGUCAGGUGACCGAUAUGCACGCUCCCUCAUCCCAUCCUGGCAGGAUGUUCAGGUGUUGGAGUCUGUUCACAGUGCACUGCAUCCUCUCCUGGACUUUACAGAUGCUCUCUCUGGAGAGGAGUAUGUGAGCAUCUCCUACCUCAAACCAGUUCUUCACCUUCUGGCCACAUCAGUCCUGGCUGAAGAUCAAGAGGACACUGACCUGACUAGGUCAUUCAAAACCAAGGUCCUGGCAUACCUCAAUGAUAAGUACAGUGACCCCAGCAUCCAAGAGCUUUUGGAUGUUGCAUCCUUCCUGGACCCCAGGUUCAAAACCCAAUACAUCACGCAGACAACAUUCCCACCAUUAAGACCCGACUCAAGACUGAAAUGCUGGAAUCAGCAAGGCUUGCAUAUCUAGCCAGGGGAAGAGGUCUCGUACUGCAACCACUCCGAGGCCUCAAGGUGCACAGCCCUCUGGCGAAAAGGUGAAGACGUCUCUUGGCAGCUUCUUCAAGACUGCCGUGGCCUCUUCUGCUUCUCCUAUGCAACUUGAAGAUGUCGCUGAGGCAGAGUUAAACACUUACCUCAUGACCCCUGCCAUUGAUGGAGAAGAUGACCCCUUGGCCUGGUGGAAGGUGCACACGAUCAACUUUCCACGUCUGUGCAAUAUGGCCCGCAAGUAUCUCUGUGUCCCUGCCACAAGUGCUCCUUCAGAGCGUCUCUUCAGCACUGGAGGGAAUAUAGUGACUUGCACUCGCUCGUCUUUAAAACCAGCUAAAGUUGACGUGCUGGUUUUCCUUGCAAAAAUUCUGUGAGCUCCUGAGAACGACACAGAAGAAUCUUUCUGGCUGCACUUUGGGAUGCUGAGGCUUAGGAGUGGAUGGAGGUGACGGAGGGUGAGAGGGAUCCGACACAGGAAAUGAAGGCACCGGUGAUCGCUUAGCACUCACACCAAGGAACACCAAAAUCAGGGGAUGAGCCGACUGUCUUCUGAGGAGGCUGAGAUCCUUCAACGUGUGCAGUAAGAUGUUGGAGCUCUUCUACCAGUCUGUUGUUGCUGGGGCUCUCUUCUCUGCAGCAUCAGAGCCAGUGACACCAGCAGAAUCCAUACACUCAUCAGGAAAGCUGGCUCUGUCAUCAGCAUCAAACUGGAUCCUUUAGAGGCUGUGGUGGACUGGAGGACUCUGAACAGACUGCUGUCCAUCAUGGAUAACCCCCCCCACCCUCUCCACCUGCAGCUGGAAGGACAGCAGAGCUCCUUCUCCAACAGACUGCUCCAGCUUCAGGAGAACCUUCCUACCCUCUGCAAGAACUCUGGCUGCAGGACUCUCUGCUCCACAGCCUCUCUGUGAACUGGACUUCACAUUUAUACUCCAUUUAAUAUUCCACUCCUUACACGCUUCAUGUAUAUAUAACAUAUGUUUUUUUUACUCUACAUUUCAGGAUUUUCUUUUUGAUAUUCUGUCCCUCACUGUUAACAUAAACCUACCAUUAAAAGUAUAGACCACCGUCA